UUGGCCAACGAAUUGGAUCGCUGCUCCCGGACCCAUGGCUUCUGCCGGCGCAGUCCAGUGGUGGACGCAAGGGCAAAGGUUCUCUUCUUGGCUGGGGACUGGUAUCUGGAUUAUCCUGGACACGGGCGGAACUCCCAGCCGAUAGCUGCGGAUCCCGGCUGCUCCUCAAAGUUCCUCUACAGGGAUUGGCUAGGUUGGCGCUGCCCUUCGCUUCGACACCGCUGUACUUCCAGGGGUCUGCUCUUGCUACAGCAAACCUUACGUGGCCUGGACCCCGUGUGACAGGUCUGACCGUGGACGAAGUAAGACUGACUGACUUGGCCCUCAAAAAACCGGGCAAGGAAGGAGACCGGGCAGCUGAUUUUCUCCUGCAGGUAACCAGCCGAGUGGUGGACCGCAGCAUCCGCGAACAGCUGCCUCGACUCCUGCUGGUGGCUCUGGCCCCCCAGUCAUCGCUCGUGCUGGAACGACGCCUGUUGGUGUAC